UACGUAGGGGGCGAGCGUUGUCCGGAAUUAUUGGGCGUAAAGAGCGUGUAGGCGGUUCGGUAAGUCUGCCGUGAAAACCCAGGGCUCAACCCUGGGCGUGCGGUGGAUACUGCCGGGCUAGAGGGUGGUAGAGGCGAGUGGAAUUCCCGGUGUAGCGGUGAAAUGCGCAGAUAUCGGGAGGAACACCGUUGGCGAAGGCGACUUUCUGGGCUGCUACUGACGCUGAGGCGCGAAAGUCAGGGGAGCAAACGGG
rnacentral:rRNA from 1 species